GCGGAGAUGGCAGAGCCUGGUCAAAUGCGCAGGGCUUAGGACCCUGUGCCUUCAGUGGCUACGGGGGUUCUGGCCCUUUUGCUCGCA
rnacentral:tRNA from 1 species